GAUGAAGAACGUAGCGAAAUGCGAUAAGUAAUGUUAAUUGCAGAAUUCCGUGAAUCAUCGAAUCUUUGAACGCACAUUGCGCCCCCUGGCAUUCCGGGGGGCAUGCCUGUCCGAGCGUCAUUUCUGCCCUCAAGCACGGCUUGUGUGUUGGGUGUGGUCCCCCCGGGGACCUGCCCGAAAGGCAGCGGCGACGUCCGUCUGGUCCUCGAGCGUAUGGGGCUCUGUCACUCGCUCGGGAAGGACCUGCGGGGGUUGGUCACCACUAUAUUUUACCACGGUUGACCUCGGAUCAGGUAGGAGUUACCCGCUGAACUUAAGCAUAUCAAUAAGCGGAGGA
rnacentral:misc_RNA from 1 species